rnacentral:rRNA from 1 species
AGUGAACGCUGGCGGUAGACCUAACACAUGCAAGUCGAGCGGCAGCACAGUAAGAGCUUGCUCUUACGGGUGGCGAGUGGCGGACGGGUUAGGAAUACAUCGGAAUCUACUUUUUCGUGGGGGAUAACGUAGGGAAACUUACGCUAAUACCGCAUACGACCUACGGGUGAAAGCAGGGGAUCUUCGGACCUUGCGCGAUUGAAUGAGCCGAUGUCGGAUUAGCUAGUUGGCGGGGUAAGGGCCCACCAAGGCGACGAUCCGUAGCUGGUCUGAGAGGAUGAUCAGCCACACUGGAACUGAGACACGGUCCAGACUCCUACGGGAGGCAGCAGUGGGGAAUAUUGGACAAUGGGCGCAAGCCUGAUCCAGCCAUACCGCGUGGGUGAAGAAGGCCUUCGGGUUGUAAAGCCCUUUUGUUGGGAAAGAAAAGCAGCAGGUUAAUACCCCGCUGUUCUGACGGUACCCAAAGAAUAAACACCGGCUAACUUCGU